rnacentral:lncRNA from 1 species
GAGCUCAGGCAAUCCACCCACCUCGGCCUCCCAAAGUGCUGAGAUUACAGGUGUGAGCCACCGUGCCUGGUCUGACCUGUGCUUUUCACCUUCUCUGCACACCUGUGUGCCCUUUCUACAUGGGGCCUCAACUCCAGACCCCGCAAACAACAACUAACAUGAGGACAACUGCUGGGAAGAGGCUGAAGCAAUUGCAGCAUGAUCACACAAGUGAUAACCACCAAGCCAAAGGGACAGGAAGCUCUCGGCAUUGUUGGUGUUUUACUCAAGCCAUGGUAAAUAACUAGAAGUUCAAUGCCUGGAUCAUGUAGCAGGUUUGUAUUUGACUAUGUUUAGCUUAUAUUCCCUCCACCAAUUAAGGAGGGUUCCAGCUAUUCUACAUCCUCACCAAUACUUGGCUUGGUCAUCAUCUGUAAUUUGAGAUAUCUUAAUUAGUAUCAAGUGAUGUCUUAUUCCCUAAUGACAUAUAAUGUUGCAUAUCUUUUUCUGUGCUUAUUUGCCAUUCAUAUGAUUGUCUUUGUUCAAAUGUCUGUAAAAACUUACCAUUUUUAAUGGUUGUUUGCUUUCUUACACUUGGACUUUAAGAGUUCUCUAUAUAUAUAGCCGAUAAAAGUUAUUUAUCAGG